rnacentral:rRNA from 1 species
AUUGAACGCUGGCGGCAUGCUUUACACAUGCAAGUCGAACGGUAACAGGGUGCUUGCACCGCUGACGAGUGGCGAACGGGUGAGUAAUGCGUCGGAACGUGCCGAGCAGGGGGGGAUAACGCAGCGAAAGUUGUGCUAAUACCGCAUACGUACUGAGGUAGAAAGUGGGGGACCUUCGGGCCUCACGCUAUUCGAGCGGCCGACGUCUGAUUAGCUAGUAGGUGAGGUAAAGGCUCGCCUAGGCGACGAUCAGUAGCGGGUCUGAGAGGAUGAUCCGCCACACUGGGACUGAGACACGGCCCAGACUCCUACGGGAGGCAGCAGUGGGGAAUUUUGGACAAUGGGAGAAAGCCUGAUCCAGCCAUGCCGCGUGUCUGAAGAAGGCCUUCGGGUUGUAAAGGACUUUUGUCAGGGAGGAAAUCCCUAGCGUUAAUACCGCUGGGGGAUGACAGUACCUGAAGAAUAAGCACCGGCUAACUACGUGCCAGCCGCCGCAGUAACAC